rnacentral:lncRNA from 11 species
GUGAAAUAUGUGCAUCCCUCCUUCUACAUGAGUUUCAUUGAGCUGUUGUCUGUCAAAUGGAAAUGCAAUCUGCUGUAUGUUUGCUUGUAACUGGCCAUACAAUCCUAAUUAUACUUCUCUUCCAGAUAACCAUUACUGUGUCCAGUCAAAUGGGGAGUCUUGGUAUUAGCAUUGCUGGUGGAAAGGGCUCAUCUUCAUGUAAAGAAAAUGAUGAGGGGAUUUUAAUAGCUCAUGUCUCCAAAGAUGUCCCAGUUGAAAUGGAGGAGGAACAAUCUGAAGACAAAGUAUUAGAGGAUGCCACUUUUUCUGAACCCAGCACACCUGAUUCUGGUCCUGCAGAGCUACCAUCUAAAAGUGGUCCAUUUCAAACAAUAAACCAUGUUAUAACAGUAAGUAAUGGUGGAUUAUAUGAACAAGAGGGAUAAUGAAUUCCUACCAUCUGGGGUGAUUUAAAAUAUAGUUCCUUGACACCUGAAAUUUACUUUUCCUGUCUAGUUUGUUUACUGAUUUAAACACAACAACCCAUUAAAUAGCAGUACAAGAUAGGCAAUAUAUUUCUUUAAACAGUAUUUGUGCUGUAUUUUUACGCCUGCUCUCUUGUGUCAUUGGUUGACUCCUCUACACAUGUAUUGAGGAGCCUGCAUUUUUGCUGUGGAAAAGGUAAAGAAGCCAGGAAAGGGAUGGACUUAUUCCCGGCUCUCCUCAUUGCUUGAGACUAAUGAUCUUGUCACAUGGCCACCGGAAUCGCCCCAUGUCAUCUCGAGUCUUUGAGGGGAGUGGGGAACCCAGCACCCCAUGCCCUGCA